UAAGUAAGUGGUGGAAAUUAAACCAAAUGGGAUAUCUUUAGUAAUUGCGAAUGAACAAGGAUAUGCUUAGCUUGACAAAUGGAGCUAUUGGCUUUGAAUUGUAUUUGUGGAAUGUAUUACCAACAGAGGUGCAGGUGCCAGCCUAUUAAAUAAAGCGUCAAUGAGGGUGAGAAUCCUGUUUGUCAUGUGCAGCCCUUUGUGCACGGUGUAUAUUUGCUGAGUCACACUCCUUGGCAUUGGAAUGCAAAGUGGGUGGUAAGUUUCAUGUACAGGUAAACAUGCAAUUGAGACUGAUAGCACACAAGUACCAUGAGGGAAAUAUGAAAAGGACUUUGAAAAGAGAAUUAAAUGAGUUUGUAUUUGCUGAACACAAAGUAAACAGACUUGAUUUGCUUGGUGGGAGUGUUGCACUUGCUUGACAAGAGCUUUGGGCUGUGGGUGUAAUGAUUCUUUCUUUGCAUGCCAGUUUCUAUUUGUACAUCUGAUUACCUUUGCACAUGAAUGAUAAGUCUCCUGUGGGGGGUGGAUUGCAUGUGCAUGUAAUGAUUUGUGUUUUGAUAAAUGUGUCUGGUGUAUGUGUGUGUUCCUGUGCUUGGGGAUGCUUCCUUCCUUGGACUUACAAGCCCUGACACACACAUGCUGGCAAAAUGCUUCUGCUUGACCCG
rnacentral:rRNA from 1 species